GGGAUACUUAGUACGGCGAGUGAAGCGGUAAAAGCUCAAAUUUGAAAUCUGGUACUUUCAGUGCCCGAGUUGUAAUUUGUAGAAUUUGUCUUUGAUUAGGUCCUUGUCUAUGUUCCUUGGAACAGGACGUCAUAGAGGGUGAGAAUCCCGUUUGGCGAGGAUACCUUUUCUCUGUAAGACUUUUUCGAAGAGUCGAGUUGUUUGGGAAUGCAGCUCAAAGUGGGUGGUAAAUUCCAUCUAAAGCUAAAUAUUGGCGAGAGACCGAUAGCGAACAAGUACAGUGAUGGAAAGAUGAAAAGAACUUUGAAAAGAGAGUGAAAAAGUACGUGAAAUUGUUGAAAGGGAAGGGCAUUUGAUCAGACAUGGUGUUUUUUGCAUGCACUCGCCUCUCGUGGGCUUGGGCCUCUCAAAAAUUUCACUGGGCCAACAUCAAUUCUGGCAGCAGGAUAAAUCAUUAAGAAUGUAGCUACUUCGGUAGUGUUAUAGCUUUUUGGAAUACUGUUAGCCGGGAUUGAGGACUGCGCUUCGGCAAGGAUGUUGGCAUAAUGGUUAAAUGCCGCCCGUCUUGAACCACGGACCA
rnacentral:rRNA from 1 species